AUGAAGUUUGGAAACCUCACAAGUGCGACAGAAUUCAUCCUUUUGGGGUUAACAGAGGAUCCUACACUUUGUGUCAUCUUUUUUGUGGUAUUUCUAGGAAUCUAUGCUGUCACCUUAGUAGGCAAUAUCAGCAUAAUUAUUCUAAUAAGAACCUGUUCCCAGCUUCACACCCCUAUGUACCAUUUUCUAAGUCAUUUGGCUUUUGUGGACAGUGGGUGUACCACAUCCGUCACACCUAUGUUGCUUAUAGGAUUCCUGAGACAAGGAGUGACCAUCACUGCUGCUGGCUGUGAAGCUCAGCUGUGUUUUGUGGUCAUGUUUGGGUCAGCUGAGUGCUUCCUGCUGGCUUCCAUGGCCUAUGACCGCUAUGUGGCCAUCUGCUUGCCCCUGCUCUACUCCACCCACAUGUCCCCCAGAGUCUAUGUUCUCUUGGUGGGGGCUUCCUACCUGGGUGGGUGUGUCAAUGCUUGCACAUUUACUAGUUGCUUACUGACUCUGUCUUUCUGUGGGCCAAAUCAGGUAGACCACUUUUUCUGUGACUUCUCCCCUCUGUUGAAACUUUCCUGCUCAGAUGUCUCCACUACUGAAAUUAUCCCUUCCAUCUCUUCUGGCUCCAUCAUUGUGGUCACAGUGUCUGUCAUCACUCUCUCUUACAUCUGCAUCCUCAGCACCAUCCUGAAGAUGCGCUCCACUCAAGGGAGACACAAGGCCUUCUCCACCUGCACCUCUCACCUCACCGCAGUCACUCUCUACUAUGGAACGAUUACCUUCAUUUAUGUGUUGCCCAAAUCCACCUACUCAAUUGACCAGAACAAAGUGCUGUCUGUAUUCUACACAGUGGUGAUCCCCAUGCUGAACCCCCUCAUCUACAGUCUGAGGAACAGAGACGUAAAGGAGGCCCUGAGAAAGGCAAGUGUCAGAAUAUAUUCUUUGGAUUUGUUCUUAACAUUUCUGAUGACCUAUAAAUUUUUGUUUACCAGUAUCACACUUAGGACCUACUAA
rnacentral:lncRNA from 1 species